GAUGAAGAACGCAGCGAAAUGCGAUAAGUAGUGUGAAUUGCAGAAUUCAGUGAAUCAUCGAAUCUUUGAACGCACAUUGCGCCCUUUGGUAUUCCAAAGGGCAUGCCUGUUCGAGCGUCAUUUGUACCCUCAAGCUUUGCUUGGUGUUGGGCGUCUUGUCUCUAGCUUUGCUGGAGACUCGCCUUAAAGUAAUUGGCAGCCGGCCUACUGGUUUCGGAGCGCAGCACAAGUCGCACUCUCUAUCAGCAAAGGUCUAGCAUCCAUUAAGCCUUUUUUUCAACUUUUGACCUCGUAUCAGGUAGGGAUACCCGCUGAACUUAAGCAUAUCAAUAAGCGGAGGA
rnacentral:misc_RNA from 1 species